rnacentral:piRNA from 2 species
UCUUUUGGGUUUGGUUUUGUUCUAGAAAC